GUCACUGCUCUCAGUGUUCGACUAAGCCAUGCAAGUCAAAUGUUCUUCGUGAACAUGGCGAACUGCUCAGUAACACGUGGAUAACCUGCCCUUAGGACCGGCAUAACCCUGGGAAACUGGGGAUAAUUCCGGAUAACCCAUUAAUGCUGGAAUGCUUCGUGGGUAAAAUGGUUUCGACCGCCCAAGGAUGGAUCUGCGGCCUAUCAGGUAGUAGUGGGUGUAGUGUACCUACUAGCCGACGACGGGUACGGGUUGUGAGAGCAAGAGCCCGGAGAUGGAUUCUGAGACAUGAAUCCAGGCCCUACGGGGCGCAGCAGGCGCGAAAACUUUACAAUGCGGGAAACCGCGAUAAGGGGACACUGAGUGCCAGCAUCUUAUGUUGGCUGUCCGCAUGUUUAAAACGCAUGUGUUAGCAAGGGCUGGGCAAGACCGGUGCCAGCCGCCGCGGUAACACCGGCAGCCCGAGUGGUGAUCACUAUUAUUGGGUCUAAAGGGUCCGUAGCCGGUUUGAUCAGUCUUUUGGGAAAUCUGACAGCUUAACUGUUAGGCUUCCAAAGGAUACUGUCAGACUUGGGACCGGGAGAGGUAAGAGGUACUACAGGGGUAGGAGUGAAAUUUUGUAAUCCCUGUGGGACCACCAGUGGCGAAGGCGUUUUACCAGAACGGGUCCGACGGUGAGGGACGAAAGCUGGGGGCACGAACCGGAUUAGAUACCCGGGUAGUCCCAGCCGUAAACGAUGCUUGYUAGGUGUYAGGRAUGGUGCGACCGUUUYUGGUGCCGUAGGGRAGCCGUGAAGCGAGCCACCUGGGAAGUACGGCCGCAAGGCUGAAAAUUAAAGGAAUUGGCGGGGGAGCACUACAACGGGUGGAGCCUGCGGUUUAAUUGGAAUUAAAGCCGGRAAACUYACCGGGGGCGACAGCAAYAUGUAGGUYAGACUAAAGACCUUACCCGAAUYGCUGAGAGGAGGUGCAUGGCCGUUGUCAGUUUGUACUGUGAAGCAUCCUGUUAAGUCAGG
rnacentral:rRNA from 1 species